GAGCAAUACCGCGUGAGGGAGGAAGGCCUUUGGGUUGUAAACCUCUUUUCUGGGGGAAGAAGCAAGUGACGGUACCCCAGGAAUCAGCAUCGGCUAACUCCGUGCCAGCAGCCGCGGUAAUACGGAGGAUGCAAGCGUUAUCCGGAAUUAUUGGGCGUAAAGCGUCCGCAGGUGGUCCAUCAAGUCUGCUGUCAAAGACCGGAGCUCAACUCCGGGCAGGCAGUGGAAACUGGUGAACUAGAGUACGGUAGGGGUAGAGGGAAUUCCCAGUGUAGCGGUGAAAUGCGUAGAGAUUGGGAAGAACACCAGUGGCGAAGGCGCUCUACUGGGCCGUAACUGACGCUCAGGGACGAAAGCUAGGGGAGCGAAAGGGAUUAGAUACCCCUGUAGUCCUAGCUGUAAACGAUGGAUACUAGGCGUUGCUUGUAUCGACCCGAGCAGUGCCGUAGCUAACGCGUUAAGUAUCCCGCCUGGGGAGUACGCACGCAAGUGUGAAACUCAAAGGAAUUGACGGGGGCCCGCACAAGCGGUGGAGUAUGUGGUUUAAUUCGAUGCAACGCGAAGAACCUUACCGGGGCUUGACAUGUCCGGAAUCUCGGGGAAACUCGAGAGUGCCUUCGGGAGCCGGAACACAGGUGGUGCAUGGCUGUCGUCAGCUCGUGUCGUGAGAUGUUGGGUUAAGUCCCGCAACGAGCGCAACCCUCGUCCUUAGUUGCCAGCCUUAAGUGGGGCACUCUAGGGAGACUGCCGGUGACAAACCGGAGGAAGGUGGGGAUGACGUCAAGUCAGCAUGCCCCUUACGUCCUGGGCGACACACGUACUACAAUGGUCGGGACAAAGGGCAGCGAACUCGCGAGAGUAAGCGAAUCUCAGCAAACCCGGCCUCAGUUCAGAUUGCAGGCUGCAACUCGCCUGCAUGAAGGAGGAAUCGCUAGUAAUCGCAGGUCAGCAUACUGCGGUGAAUUCGUUCCCGGGCCUUGUACACACCGCCCGUCACACCAUGGAAGCUGGCCACGCCCGAAGUCGUUACCCUAACCUUUAGGGGAGGGGGACGCCGAAGGCAGGGCUAGUGACUGGGGUGAAGUCGUAACAAGGUAGCCGUACCGGAAGGUG
rnacentral:rRNA from 1 species